CGGGCUCUGGAGAAGGGCCGUGGCCUGCGUCGCGGAGGGGCUGCCCGGGGAGAGCGGGGGAAACUCUUGAGCCUCCCUCGCGUGGGGCUUCCCCGUCAGGAGCGAGGCGGUUGGAUCGUCUCGGUUUUCACGCCGAAAACCAGCGCAGGGAGGAGGGUGCGCAGGGGAUCCAGGUGUUCCAAGCGCCGCCUCCCUUUCCCCUCCUUCCCUGGGUGCCUCUGAGGUGUAACGUCGUGUUUUGUGUUUUGCCCUCCCCAAAACACCGACUGAGUUCGCAGGCAUUCCUCAGAUGUGCGGGGUUUCUGCCCCAAAACAAUGGCAAAGAGGCACAGCUGCGCUAGCAGUAAAAUAGACCUCAAACUUGCACUGUUCUUUGCAUGCGCUUCACUGUACUCUGGUUAAUGUUUGUUUUUUCUGAUACACUUCAGUAGUCUUGGAGAGACUUAAGCAGGGUAUGCUGUUCCUCCACCGACAUCACAGCCAAACUAUUCGAGCACGUACACCAUUAUUCAACAGCCUGCUACCACCACUUCUGUAGUAGUAGUUGGUGGCUGUCCUGCUUGCAGGGUUGGCGUGUUGGAGGACACCUUCACCUGUCUUGGUGUUUUGUGUGCCAUUGUAUUCUUUCCAAUUGGGAUUCUGUUCUGUCUUGCACUGAGGCAGAGAAGAUGCCCUAAUUGUGGGGCAGCUUUUGGCUAAGGGGAUGAACGUGGAUGUGCUUAUGGAAGCUACAACUGUUAGCAUACUCUUUCUAAUGUAAAUGUCAUGUACAAUCAUUUUAUUUGCUUCAGACCUGUUUUGUAAAGUGUGAAGAAAUUUAGUCUCUUGCAUGUAAUUUAAACUUAAUCUUUUAUGAGCAUGUGCAUUGCAAAACAUGAAAACCCAACUUGUUUUCCAUGUUUAGUGGCACCUGUUGAAAACUAAAUAAAACUGCUUUUCCUUUUGCAAUCCUCAA